UGGGGAAUAUUGGGCAAUGGACGCAAGUCUGACCCAGCUAUGCCGCGUGAAUGAUGAAGGCCUUAGGGUCGUAAAGUUCUUUUACCAGGGAAGAUGAUGACGGUACCUGGAGAAAAAGCUCCGGCUAACUUCGUGCCAGCAGCCGCGGUAAUACGAAGGGAGCAAGCGUUGCUCGGAUUUAUUGGGCGUAAAGGGUGUGUAGGCGGUUUGAUAAGUUAGAUGUGAAAGCCCAGGGCUUAACCCUGGAAUUGCAUUUAAGACUGUCAGACUUGAAGAUUGGAGAGGUUAGCAGAAUUCCCAGUGUAGAGGUGAAAUUCGUAGAUAUUGGGAAGAAUACCAAUGGCGUAGGCAGCUAACUGGCCAAAUCUUGACGCUGAGGCACGAAAGCGUGGGGAGCAAACAG
rnacentral:rRNA from 1 species